AACAAUAGUGCUUCAUCAUUGAAGUGUUGAAUGAUUUAUGCUUGCUUGAAGAAGACUUGUCGAUUAUAUAAUUAAAAUUGCACUAAAGUCUAUGAACAAAGGCGAACACCUUGAGCAACUAGGUCAUUCAUCCCGUACCCAAGGAUACCCUAGAAAAGGAUAUGAAUUCUCCACUCUCAUUAUUCUUUGUUACUUAAGGCCCAUUGCGUUCAACUCGAAUCAGAAUUGACAAGUUGCUGAUAGGAG
rnacentral:lncRNA from 1 species